rnacentral:lncRNA from 1 species
CGCUGGGCUAACAUCCCGCCGCCGCCCGGAGCCGGGUCUUGCUCGCGCUCUCGCGAGAGAGCCGUCAUCUCUCCGGUGCCCGGGAGAGGGGCCGGGCGGGACGGUACAGCACCCGGAGGAACCUUGAUGCCCUGCCCUGCAAGCCCAGCACCGGUUUUGCCGCCUUGUCUCGAAGGGUCAACCAGGCCAUCUCCUGCCUCGGGACGGAGAGCGCCCUGGAAAAGGCGGAGGGGCCGACCUUAGUCACACAACAGCAAUGGCAAGAUUUUCACCCAAGCAAUCUGACUUGGAACCCAUGGAUUAACCAACUGCCACUGGAGGCAAAUCCAGAGACCAAGGGAGCAGUUUAUACAGAAACAGGUCUGUUAUGGGUGGAAUUAGGUCCCUUCAAAAGAAUGUUGAAACCCUAACCCCCAGUACCUCAGAACGUGACCUUAUGUGGGAACAGGGUUAUUGCAAAUGUAAUUAGUUAAGCUGAGGUCAUCCUGGGAUAGAUUAGACCCCUACUCCAGUGUGACUGGCGUCUUUAUAAGAAGACAACCAGGCCGGGCGCAGUGGCUCACACCUGUAAUCCCAGCACUUUGGGAGGCCGAGGCGGGUGGAUCACAAGGUUAGGAGAUCAAUACCAUCCUGGCUAACACGGUGAAACCCUGUCUCUACUAAAAAUACAAAAAACUAGUGCAGCAUGGUGGCAUGUGCCUGUGGUCCCAACUACUUGGAAGGCUGAGGUGGGAGGAUCACUUGAGCAUGAAAGGUUGAGGCUGCAGUGAGCUGUGAUGGUGCCACCACACUCCAGCCUGGGCAAAUUAUGUUUUGGUCGGGCGCGGUGGCUCACGCCUGUAAUCCCAAUACUUUGGGAGGCCAAGGUGGGCAGAUCGUGAGGUCAGGAGAUCGAGACCAUCCUGGCUAACAUGGUAAAACCCUGUGUCUACUAAAAAUACAAAAAAAUUAGCCGGGCAUGGUGGUGGGCGCCUGUAGUCCCAGCUACUCGGAAGGCUGAGGCAGGAGAAUGGUGUGAACCCAGGAGGCGGAGGUUGCAGUCAGCCGAGAUCGCGCCACUGUACUCCAGCCUGGGCAACAGAGCGAGACUCCAUCUCAAAAAAAAAAAAAACAGAAGACAACCAUGUGAAGGCAGGGAGGCACAGAGACAGCACCAUGUGAAGACAGAAAAUUGGAUUAAUAUAUCUAUAAGCCAAAGAAUGCCAGAUCGCCAGCAAACCACCAGAAGUAAGGAAGAGGCAAAGAAGGAUUCCCCUACAGGUUUCAGAGAGGGAGCAUGUCCCUGCUGACACCUUGAUUUGGACUUCUUCCCACCAGAACUGUGAUACAAUAAAUUUCUGCUGUCUUAAG